GAUGAACGCUGGCGGCGUGCCUAAUACAUGCAAGUCGAGCGAACAGACGAGGAGCUUGCUCCUCUGACGUUAGCGGCGGACGGGUGAGUAACACGUGGAUAACCUACCUAUAAGACUGGGAUAACUUCGGGAAACCGGAGCUAAUACCGGAUAAUAUAUUGAACCGCAUGGUUCAAUAGUGAAAGACGGUUUUGCUGUCACUUAUAGAUGGAUCCGCGCCGCAUUAGCUAGUUGGUAAGGUAACGGCUUACCAAGGCAACGAUGCGUAGCCGACCUGAGAGGGGGAUAGGCCACACUGGAACUGAGACACGGUCCAUACUCCUACGGGAGGCAGCAGUAGGGAAUCUUCCGCAAUGGGCGAAAGCUUGACGGAGCAACCCCGCGUGAGUGAUGAAGGUCUUCGGAUCGGAAAACUCUGUUAUUAGGGAAGAACAAAUGUGUAAGUAACUAUGGACGUAUUGACGGUACCUAAUCAGAAAGCCACGGCUAACUACGUG
rnacentral:rRNA from 1 species